GACGAACGCUGGCGGCGUGCCUAAUACAUGCAAGUCGAGCGCAGGAAACUGACAGAACUCUUCGGAGGGAAGGCAGCGGAAUGAGCGGCGGACGGGUGAGUAACACGUAAGGAACCUGCCUCAAGGAUUGGGAUAACUCCGAGAAAUCGGAGCUAAUACCGGAUAGUUCAUCGGACCGCAUGGUCCGUUGAUGAAAGGCGCUCCGGCGUCACCUUGAGAUGGCCUUGCGGUGCAUUAGCUAGUUGGUGGGGUAACGGCCCACCAAGGCGACGAUGCAUAGCCGACCUGAGAGGGUGAUCGGCCACACUGGGACUGAGACACGGCCCAGACUCCUACGGGAGGCAGCAGUAGGGAAUCUUCCACAAUGGACGAAAGUCUGAUGGAGCAACGCCGCGUGAGUGAUGAAGGUUUCGGAUCGUAAAACUCUGUUGUAAGGGAAGAACACGUACGAGAGGGAAUGCUCGUACCUUGACGGUACCUUACGAGAAAGCCACGGCUAACUACGUGCCAGCCGCCGCGGUAAAAC
rnacentral:rRNA from 1 species